rnacentral:lncRNA from 1 species
AAUUAAAAAAAUAUUCAUUAAGAUUAAAGAAGUUUAUACAAUUUCAAGAAUAUAAAUCAAAAAUACAAAACCCUUGGCCCUUUGUUAGGACUGCAUCCAGCCCUAGUGAAGAGAUCAAGCUUUCAUGCAGUGGUGGACGGCAGCAGCAGGACAGUAGCGGGCUCCCAUGUCUUCCUUCUUCCUUCCUAGAUUCUCCCCUCUCCCAUGGCAAUUCCCAGACUAAUUGAAAUGACUCGAAUGAGUCAAGAUUGGUGAGAAAGAAUGGGUGAGAAAGGAUUGCCUCCUCUGUUCACGCCUGGCCCUUUUAUAGGCUGCAACCUUCAUCUCUCCUCUUCCAUAUUUUCCAUGGAGAUAAGGAUGGAUCGAAGCUGGAUGGAGCUGAGGAUUUGUUGCUUGAUCUUCGGAGGCGUUGUAGAUGCUGGCUCUGGUCCCGAUGGCUUGAACAACCCGUGAAGAUAAGCUCCAUUUUUGUUUUGCUGUAACAGGGGAUCCGGCGAAGAUUUGAUGCGGAUGCUGGGGAGAUUGGUUUUGCAUCGCGGGAGGAGUUGGGAAAGAUGUGGAUUGGCUCACGAAAAGAUAGAGACGGAGAUGUUGUGAAGAUACGAUGGGAAGAGGAUGAGGGUGCUGUUUUGUUGCUGGGAGGAUCUCGGCUGAUAGCUGGGAGGUUUGGGAUGAAGUUGUUCUGAAAUAGGGGAGGUGGAGCGCAAUCAAUCCGAACGGGAUAUGAGGAAGAAAUUCGGGAUGAGCAUGGGAGCGUGGAGUUGGGAGGUUAGGAAGAUGCUGGGAAGGAUGAGGAUGAAUUGGUUGUUCCUAAGAAGGGAUAAGGAUGCAAGCGGUUGAAGAUGCGGAGAGGAUGGGCUUAAUCCAUGGGCGAUGGAAUUUUGUUCCGAAUGGGAUAAUAUAUAGGAUGAUGAUGCUGGGAUAAGGAUGAUCACGGAGUACCCGAUCCCGGAAGGAACUGGGAGCUGAUCCCUUGAAUCGCGGAUGCAGGGAAGAUGCUGGGAUUUGGGUUCAUCCCGCGGCUCUGUUCUUUGAAUAUCGUAGAACAGGGGAGGAUGACGUGGAAGCUUUGGAUGUGGAAGGGAAGAACGUGGCUGGGAGUUUGGAUGAAGAAGGGAUCCGAAGGAGGUUUCCUGGGAGAUGGCUGGUUGCAAAUGGGAUUA